GACGAACGCUGGCGGCGUGCUUAACACAUGCAAGUCGAACGGAAAGGCCCUGCUUUUGUGGGGUGCUCGAGUGGCGAACGGGUGAGUAACACGUGAGUAACCUGCCCUUGACUUUGGGAUAACUUCAGGAAACUGGGGCUAAUACCGGAUAGGAGCUCCUGCCGCAUGGUGGGGGUUGGAAAGUUUCGGCGGUUGGGGAUGGACUCGCGGCUUAUCAGCUUGUUGGUGGGGUAGUGGCUUACCAAGGCUUUGACGGGUAGCCGGCCUGAGAGGGUGACCGGCCACAUUGGGACUGAGAUACGGCCCAGACUCCUACGGGAGGCAGCAGUGGGGAAUAUUGCACAAUGGGCGGAAGCCUGAUGCAGCAACGCCGCGUGCGGGAUGACGGCCUUCGGGUUGUAAACCGCUUUCGCCUGUGACGAAGCGUGAGUGACGGUAAUGGGUAAAGAAGCACCGGCUAACUACGUGCCAGCAGCCGCGGUGAUACGUAGGGUGCGAGCGUUGUCCGGAUUUAUUGGGCGUAAAGGGCUCGUAGGUGGUUGAUCGCGUCGGAAGUGUAAUCUUGGGGCUUAACCCUGAGCGUGCUUUCGAUACGGGUUGACUUGAGGAAGGUAGGGGAGAAUGGAAUUCCUGGUGGAGCGGUGGAAUGCGCAGAUAUCAGGAGGAACACCAGUGGCGAAGGCGGUUCUCUGGGCCUUUCCUGACGCUGAGGAGCGAAAGCGUGGGGAGCGAACAGGCUUAGAUACCCUGGUAGUCCACGCUGUAAACGGUGGGUACUAGGUGUGGGGUCCAUUCCACGGGUUCCGUGCCGUAGCUAACGCUUUAAGUACCCCGCCUGGGGAGUACGGCCGCAAGGCUAAAACUCAAAGGAAUUGACGGGGCCCCGCACAAGCGGCGGAGCAUGCGGAUUAAUUCGAUGCAACGCGUAGAACCUUACCUGGGUUUGACAUGGAUCGGGAGUGCUCAGAGAUGGGUGUGCCUCUUUUGGGGUCGGUUCACAGGUGGUGCAUGGCUGUCGUCAGCUCGUGUCGUGAGAUGUUGGGUUAAGUCCCGCAACGAGCGCAACCCUUGUUCACUGUUGCCAGCACGUUAUGGUGGGGACUCAGUGGAGACCGCCGGGGUCAACUCGGAGGAAGGUGGGGAUGACGUCAAGUCAUCAUGCCCCUUAUGUCCAGGGCUUCACGCAUGCUACAAUGGCUGGUACAGAGAGUGGCGAGCCUGUGAGGGUGAGCGAAUCUCGGAAAGCCGGUCUCAGUUCGGAUUGGGGUCUGCAACUCGACCUCAUGAAGUCGGAGUCGCUAGUAAUCGCAGAUCAGCAACGCUGCGGUGAAUACGUUCCCGGGGCUUGUACACACCGCCCGUCAAGUCAUGAAAGUUGGUAACACCCGAGGCCGGUGGCCUAACCGUUGUGGGGGAGCCGUCGAAGGUGGGACUGGUGAUUGGGACUAAGUCGUAACAAGGUAGCCGUACCGGAAGG
rnacentral:rRNA from 1 species